UUGGAGGGCAAGUCUGGUGCCAGCAGCCGCGGUAAUUCCAGCUCCAAUAGCGUAUAUUAAAGUUGUUGUGGUUAGAAAGCUCGUAGUUGAACCUUGGGCCUGGCUGGCCGGUCCGCCUCACCGCGUGUACUGGUCCGGCCGGGCCUUUCCCUCUGUGGAACCCCAUGCCCUUCACUGGGUGUGGCGGGGAAACAGGACUUUUACUGUGAAAAAAUUAGAGUGCUCCAGGCAGGCCUAUGCUCGAAUACAUUAGCAUGGAAUAAUAGAAUAGGACG
rnacentral:rRNA from 1 species